rnacentral:lncRNA from 1 species
UCAGCCGUCUAUCCCGACCUUGCCUUCUUUCUAUAUAUACUUUUCUCUCUAACCAUAGAGUAAACGUGUUCUAUAUUGUUUGUUUUUGUUUCGUGUUUAACUCGUUUGUGAUGAAUUCGAUUUCUUGAUUCCAAUUUUUUCUAGCCCUAGUUCUUGAUAUCCGUUGCUCCGAUUUCGAUUUCUUCUACUCGUUCUUGAUAUCCUUUGCUCCGAUUGCUUGCUUCUUGAUGGCUCGAUUUCAGGGUUUUCUAUUAAAGAGAAUGCAUCCAGAUAGACAAAUCAAGUUUCUUCAAUGAGUCGUUCUUUUAUUUUUAUUUUUUUGCUUUGAUUGCAAGACAUACGAAUUGCGAACCUGUUUUUCUGCAGCAUGAUUUGUCGAAAUACUAACGUUCUUCACAGCUAAGAAUGGACGCUCGAAUUUUGUUUGGUUAUCUCUAGUAAAAAAAUAUUCGUUUCAAUCUUUCUUUUUAGAUUCUGAGAGCAUAUUUUCUUUAAGUAAAUUUUUUCGUUUAAAUAUUUCUGUUUUCAUUCUUGAUUUUGUUCAUCUUCGGUUAGGAGAGGUAAUCUGUGAACACACGGUUCCUUUUCGGUUCUAUCUUCCUCUUGUUUGAUCUUGAUGUUUGUAUUCUUAUUCUCUUAUCCUUUUAUCAUACAGGUUCUUGAUUUUGUUCUUGCUGGUUUCUUUCAUUGAGUUUGUUUUUCUUAUUUGCAUUAUCUGCUACUAUUUUUGAGUUCGUUGGGGGUCCUGAUGCGAGUUUUCUGUUUUUAGACGUUUUGCAAGACAUGGUCAUCAUUCAUCACCCCUGGUUGAAUUUACUGAAUUUAAUUUCUAUCAUUGAAUUGUGUUAUUUUCCUAUUAUGGCUUUGAAUGUUUUGAUCUCCAUACAGAUGAAUUAAAACACGAACCCGUUUUCUGCAGUGAAGGGUGUUUUGAAGUAAAAUAACGUUUUGUGUAGUAUCAAGCCUCAGGUUUACUUUUGUACACUCUUCUUGGAUUGUAAAUCAUUUUCAUUUCAUCUGUGAGUUUUUAUUGCUAGUGUUCUUGAUUUACUCCUUUAUGAUUUCCACUUGUGAAAUUUUCGGCUUGGUGUUGGUGGUUUUGGAGAGACUGAGACAGUUUGGUGAGCCUAUCUAAUUGGCGACUUGGUUUGGAGAAUUAUGCUAUUUGUCACCAACUAUUUGUCACAGCGUAAUCAUUCUGAUUAGCUGUUUGCUGGGACAACUUUGUUGGGAGAGGUUUCUGUUAUCGUCUUUUACUCAUUAGUUGUUUUUGUGGUUAUUUGUGAUUUACGAUGAUACUCCUAAAAAGAUAUCCUCUUUGUUACAGUGGCCCAAGGACUCAUCUGUAGUAAGAAGAAGCCAAAAUUGUGUCAUUUCAUAUGGAGUACAUGAUCUUGCAAGUUGGAUGGAAAUUUGUUCCAAUGAUUCAUAAGCUCUUGCAGGCUGUGUCGUAUACUUUUAGCUGUUGCUAGCUUUUAAUUCGGCCAUCUUUACUAAGAAUCUUCACAUUUCAUUAUUUGUUUGAUACUCAGCAUAUACUUUUGUCAGUUCCUUUGAGUUUUCUGUGUGGAAGUUACAGGGGAGAUAGCCUAUGACUGUGUAGUUUGCUGUGGAACUCGUGGCAGAAAGAGGUUCAGUUCUCAAACACCCUUAGGAUAAAAACGUUACAUAUCUAAUAUCUUACUGUUUUGGGAUGUUUGUCCUUUGAUGGAGUGCCCUGCUGGUUUUAGAUUUUUUGUGUUGCUGUUUCAGCAAGAUUCUAGAGCAUUGAAGCAUACAAGAUUCUAGACUGUACAUUUUCCCUCACCGAGGAUGUGGAAUUAAGGAUAAUUUGGUUUGUCAUUUUUUUGUUCUGUUGAUUUGCCACUUCCUUUGUCAUAUUUGUUUCUAUUUUCUUGUCAAUUGUGAUACUUAGGAGUAAGGUUAAGAAUAACAGUAUUAUCUCUAGGUGUACAUGAAUUCCUUCUGGUAUAGGGGCAAAGUCUAAUUUUGCAUUGGAGCACUGGAAUCUACAAUUGGUACAUAAACUCCUUCUGGUAUAGGGAUAAAGCCUAAUUUUGCAUAGGAGCUCUGGAAUCUACAAUUGGUUGUGUCCUAUAUUAUCACGAUUGUUGUUCUUUCAUUUGGUGAUCUCUACUUUGACUAUGUUAUUGUCUGGUUUCUUAGUCUUUUGAAGACUUGUUUUCUCGAUCUUUUGAGAGCUAUGUGUGGAUGUCACAGGGGGAUGUAGACAGUGAAAGCCAUGGCAUAGAUUAUCAAGGACGUGAUUUUGCUAUGGAGAGAGCCAAUGAAUGUACCAUGGGAUGUGGAAGCUGUUGUAGACAUUAUCAAGGACAUGCCUUUGGAUUUAAUGGGUCAUUUUUCUCCUUGAAUGUGUUUAUUCUGGAAUUCUAGAAUCGGAUAUCGUAUGAUAUUGUAAUGUGGCGAUGUUGAUUUUUGUGUUUUUUACUGUAGUUGUAAGAGAGGUUCUGAAGUGCAUGUACAUCUUUUUCAAGGAUAAUUUAAGACAUGCAUUUAUGUAUUUUGCAGUGAGUUGAAGUUUAGAUAUCUAGAACGUUGAGCCUUGUUGGACGGAUAAGAAAGGGAAAGCCCUAGAUAAAUCAAAUUUCUUCAGAGUCAUUAUAAUUGUUAUUUCUGGAUGUUGAUCGCAAAACAUACAAAUGAAUUGUGAACUUAUUUUUCUGCAGUGUGGUUUGUCAAUAUGAUAACCUUCUUCCAAGCAUCGAGCCUUGAGUUUUGAUUUGGUGAUCUCUAGUAUUAUCUUUUUGUUUCAGUAUUUCCUUAUCGAUUCUGAAAGCAUUUAUUUCUAAUUGUUAUUCCCCUUUUGAUUUUGCAGGGGUGGUAAUAUGUAAAACACACAAUUCCUUCUGGUCCUAUCUUACUGGUUGAUAUUUUCUAUUUUCCUUCUUUUCUCCUUGGUUAUUAAUGUCAAUUGUGAUACAUAAGAAUAAUCAAGGUAUGCUCUUAAAAAGGAAGACAAUUGUGAUUCUCAAUAGAAUGAAUAAGACGGAGAACUGCUCUAGAUAUAAUAAUCAAAUUUCUUCAGUUAGUCGUUCUUCAUUUUUUAAUUUCUGGCUUUGAUCAGAAGAAAAAAGAAUAUAGUUGUGAGAAUAUUUUUCUGCAGCGCGAUUUGUCAAACUAAUAAUGUUCUACAUGGAGUGUGCUUUGAUGUUUGAUUUGGUGAUCUCUAGUAAAUUCUUUUUGUUUUCAAUAAUUCUCUAUCAAUCAAUUCUAAAAGCGUAUUUUAGUUGAUUUGUUGUUUCCUUUUUUGUGUUGCAGGAUAGUUAAAUCUAUGAACAUGUUAUUCCUUUUGUUUCUAUCUUGCUUUUGUAUGAUCUUUCAUGUAUUGUAUUUUGAUUAUUUUCUGUUUUCUUGAUUCUGAGUUUUGAUUUGGCUCUGGAUUUCAUCGCCGUACACGUGGAAUUGAAAUAUGAACUUUGUUUUUGUAGUAUAGUUUGUUUCGAUACAUUAACAUUCUGUGUAGAGUACCAAGUCUCAGUUUUAAUUUGGUACCCAAUACUAUAUUAUUAUAAAUUAUGUCCAUUUCAUUUCUUCUCGGUCAAUUCCUAUCAACCAGACCAGUUUUUUCGAUUUACUCUUAAAUGAUUUCCACUGUUUCCGUCAGAUGAGUCUAUUGGUGUGUGUGGUAAGAGUUGGUUGGGAUAAUUGAAAAGUUGAGCCUUAGGGGUUUUCUUAGUUCUUAUCAUUAAUACUUCUUUUUUCUUACAAAAGUUUACAUGAUUCUGGAAAAUUUGGGAGAAAAACCAAGAAAAAAGAUAGAAGAGUAGCGUAAUUCUGCAAACCAUGUUGCAUAUCAUCAGAACAAAGAGAUAGCCUAUGAUUUUGUGGUUUGCUAUGGAAACUGUGGCAUGAAGAAGUUCAGUUCUUUACAUAUCUAUUAUCUUAUUGUUUUGGGAUAUUUGUCCUUUUGAUGGGGUGCCCUGCUGGUAUUGGAUUUUUUGUGUUUCUGUUUCAGCAAGAUUAUGUAGUAUUUGAAGCAUACAAGAUUCUAGAACCUUUGCCCUCCCUGAGGAUGUGGAAUUCAGGAUAACUUGGUUUGGCACUCUUUUGUACUGUCGAUUUGCCAUUCCUUUUGUUAUCUUUUUUUAGUAUAUUAUUGUCAAUUUUGAUAUAUAAAAAUAAAAAUAAGAGUAAGGACAAAAAUAAUAAUAUCAUCCCUCAAGUUGUACAAGAUCUUUGGUGUAGGGGUGCUGUCAAAUUUUGUAUAGGAGGACUAGAAUCUACAAUUGACUGUGUCAUAUUGUCAAAGUCGUUGUUCUUUGAUUUGGUUGUCUCUACUUUUGACUAAAUUGUUCAUGUUUUUGUCUUUUGAUCAUCUUGUGUGGGUAUCACAAGGAGGAUGUAGAGUGAAAGCCAUGACAGAGAUUAUCAAAAAGAGAGCCUAUGAAUGUAUCAUUGGAUGUGAAAGCUGUUGCGGACAUUUUAAGGACAUGCUUUUAUUAAUUCUGGAAUGGGUAUCAAAAAGAGACGUUGGAUUUAGUGGGUGAUUUUUCUCCUUCAAUUUAUUAAUUCUGGAAUGGGUAUCCUGAUAUUGUAAUUUGACAAUAUUGAUUAAUGUGUUUUUUAUUAAAAGUUUAAGGAGGGCUUCAAUAUAUAUGAUUUUGAAAUACACGUACAUUUCUUUCAAAAGAUAAUUUGAGACAUGCGUUCAUCUGUUUACAGAAAGAAUUGAAGCUUAGUUCAGCUAUAGCCUUUUUUGAUACUUAAUGCAUGGAUUAAUUACAGAUUUUGAUCGUAAGGCAUACUAAUGAAUCUUUAACUUAAUUUUCUGCAGCUUGGUGUAUGAAAAUGACAACGUUCUUCAUAGCAUCGAGCCUUCAGUUUUGAUUUUGUGAUCCUUAUUACAUUCUUUUCGUUUCAGUAUUUCCGUAUUGAUUCGGAGAUAAUUUUUUUCUAAUUGUUAUUUCCCUGUUUGGUGUUGCUGGAUAAGUAAAAUGUGAAACGCACAAUUGCUUCUGGUUCUAUCUUACUGUUUGAUCCUUAUUAUUCUCACUCUCUUCUCCUUGAUUAUUUUGGUUUCCUGAAUGAGGUUUUAUUUAUGUUCUUGUUGGUUUUGAGCUUGAAGUUUGCUUUUAUUACUAUGGUUAUUGUAUUUGCUGUUAUUAUUGAGGUUUUAGGGCUUUGAUUGUUUGCUCUUCCAAUUCUUCUUUUAUUUCAAUUUUUUGAAUUUGAAUUUUUUUCUUCGUUUGAUUGUUUAUAUAGUUUUUGGAUAUAAUUAUGCAUUCGAAAAUCGAGACGUUUUUCAGCUAGCUGAUUCCUCGAUAUCUACAAUGUUUUGUGAUUCUCAAUACUACAGUUAAGACGGCUCCAGAUAGAAAAUCAAGCUUCUAAAAUUAGUCGUUCUUCAUUUAUUUUUAAUUUUGCUUUGAUUAGUAGAAAUAAGAAUAUGAUUGUGCGCAUGUUUUUUGCAUCCUGGUUUGUCAAUUUAAUAACGUUCUUUAUGGAGUGGAGCCUUCAUUUUUUAUUUGGUAAUCUCUAGUAUAUGCUUUUUGUUUUCAAUAAUUCUUUAUCUAUGCUGAAAGUGUAUUUUUUUAUUUGUUAUUUUCUCUUUGGUGUUGCAAGCUAGGUAAUCUAUGAACAUGUGAUUCCUUUUGGUUCUAUCUUCCUCUCUUUAGAUCUUUCAUGUUCUGUAUUUUGAUUAUUUUCUGGUUUCUUUACUCUAUUAUGAUUAUCACUGUUUCAGGUAAGAUAAGUCUAUUGGUUUGUGGUAAGAGUUGAUAGUUAUAAUUGAAAAGUUGAGCUUUAAAGGUUGUCUUACCAUUAAUACUACUUCCAUACAAAUUUCUACAUUUGGGUUUUUGAUUGUAUUAUGACAAUGCAAAAGCUUACACAGUUAUGAAAAAAUUGGAAUGACUUGGUGAGCCUGUCUUCUUUUUUCUUGGUUUUUUGUGCAUCUAUUUGUCACAACAUAUUUCCUCCGUACAUGUAUCAUUUUGGUGUUACAUGGGUUUGAUGUGAAGUAUUUUCCUUCUUUGUCACUCACCACCUUUCUAGUUCGCCCUUUGAUGUAGAAAAAUUGGAGAUGUGUUACUUUCUGCUUUGUACAAUAAUGUCAUGAUGGUCGUUCAUAUAUUUCCUAGCCUUUAAUUGCGGCAACCACACUUCUCGAUUCCUUUGCAAAAGAUUAGCCGGUAAGAUUAUCAACCUCUUUCUUCUAUGAGUUAUUCGUUUAUUAUUUUUAUUUCUGUGCAUUGAUCGCAAGACAUACAAAUUGAAUUAUGAACCUGUUUUUCUGCAGUGUGGCGAAGCAUAUUUUUCUUCUAGUAAAUUCUAUUCAUUUAAAUAUUUCUUUAUUGAUUUUGUCAGCAUAUUUUUCUUGAUUUUGGUUUCAUCUUUGUUGUUGCAAGUUCAAUUCCUUCUGGUUCUAUCUUUCACUGGUUUGAUCUUCUUAUUUUGUUUUCUUAUUCUUUUCUGGUUGAUUAUUUUUGUUUCUUGAUUUGGUUCUUGCUGGUUUUGAUCUGCCAUUAUUAUUACAACUGAUUUUUCUUUUAUUAUUUUAAUGAUCUGCAGCUAUUAUUUAGAUUUUAAAUUACUGUUCUUCCAAUUCUUCUUACAUUAAUACUACUUUUUCCUACAAAUGUUUGUUCUACAUUUGGGUUUUUGAUCUGUAUUCUUACAGUGCAAAAGUUUACAUGAUUCUGGAAAAAUUGGGAGAACAUGGUGGGCCUCUCUUUAUUCUGAUGAUAUGAGACAUGGUUUGCCGAAUUAUGCUACUCUUCUAUCUUUUUUCUUGGUUUUUGUGCAUUUAUUUGUCACUGCAAAAUUUUCUGUACCUGUAGCAUCUGGUGUUUCAUGACUUGAUGUGAAUGCACCUUUUAGUUCGCUCUCAGAAGUAGAGAAAUUUGAGAUGAGUGCCCUUCUGCUUUUCUGCUUUGUACAACUAAUCUUCUGUGAAUGAAUUAACAGGGACACAUGAACCAUAAUGUCAUGCUGGCUGUUUAUAUAUUUCAUAGGCAUUAAUUUCAGCAUCCACACUUCUCGAUUCCUUUGUGAAAGCUUAGGGGGUGAGAUUAUCAACCCCAUUCAAAUUUUGGAGAUAAUUGACAAUUUUCUAGUCAUAUAUUUCUUACUAAUGUUUGUUCUGGGUUGUUGUCCUCUGACUGGGUACAAUCCAAUGUUGAAAUUUUGGUGUCUGUGUGCAUAGUUUUUCUCCAGUUUAGCUUACAAGAUUCUGGAUUAACACUACCUUUCUCUUUGCGAGCAAUUUUGGAUAACUUGGUUAGGUAUCUUUUGGGGCCAACUUGGCUGGGAAGAGUUAAUAUUCUUUUACUGUUUUGUUGAUAUUUGUGAUUUGUGCUUGGUAUACUCCUAAAUAGAUAUCAGCUUCGUUACAGUGGCCGAAGGACUUGCCUGUAGUAAGAAGAAGCAAAAAUUGUGUAAUUUCAUACAAGAAGCAAAUUGGAUGGAAAUUUGUCCCUAUGUUUCAUUGUCUUUUGCAGGCUGUUUCGUAUACUUUCUACUGCUGCUAGACUUCAUAUUUGGUAUUAAGAAUUUUCACAUUUCAUUCUUUGUUUGAUACUGUACAUAUACUAUUGUCGAUUCCUUUGAGGUUUAUGUGUGGAAGUUACAGUUGAGAUAGUCUAUGUUUGUGUUGUUUGCUAUGGUACCUGUGGCACGAAGAAGUUCAGUUCACAUACCCUUCAGAUAAAAACGGUCAUUUUUUUCUCUACAUAUCUAAUAUAAUUGUUUUGGGAUAGUUGUCCUUUGUUGGAGUGUUCUGCUGGUGUUGGAUUUUUUAUGUUACUGUUUCAGCAAGAUUCUAGAAUUUUGAAGCAUACAAGAUACUAGAGUAUAACUUUUCCCUCCUCGAGGAUGUGGAAUUCAGGAUAACUUGGUUUGGCACUUUUUUGUUCUUUCGACUUGUCAUUCCUUUUGUUAUAUUUUUUUUCUAUAUUCUUGUUAAUUGUAAGGACAAAAAUAAUAAUAUCAUCUCUCAAGUUCUACAAGAUCUGGUGUAGGGGUGAAGUCAAAUUUUGUAUUGGAGGACCAGAAUCUACAAUUGGCUGUGUCAUAUUGUCAAAGUUGUCGUUCUUUCGUUUGGUUGUCUCUACUUUUGACAGAAUUGUUCACCUUUCUUUGUUUUUUGAUCAUGUUGUGUGGGUAUAACUAGGAGGUAGAGUGAAAGCCAUUGUAGAGAUUAUCAAAAAGAGAGCCUAUGAAUGUUCCAUAGGAUGUGAAAGUUGUUGGUGACAUUUUAGUGACAUGCUUUAUGCCUUUGGAUUUAAGGAUUUAGUGGGUGAGUUUUCUCUAUGAAUUUAUUAAUUCUGAAAUGCAUAUCUUGAUAUUGUAAUGUGCAAUAUUGAUUAUUGUGUUUUUUAUUACAAGUUUACAGUGGUUUCAGUAUUUAUGAUUAUGAAGUGCAUGUACAUUUCUUUCAAAGAUAAUUUGAGACAUGUGUUCAUCUGUUUAAUAGGAAGAGUUGAUGUUUGGACAUUUAGAGCCUUUUUUGAUACUAUGCAUGGAUUAGAAAAAGGAAAACUGCCAGAUAAAUCAAACAACUUCAUUGGGACAUUAUUUUUAUUUACAGAUUUUGAUCUUAAGGAUAUGGAUUGCGACAUCUGUGGCGUUAGUAUCAAGUUCAAUCAGAUAUAACUUUGAAUGUAAUGUGGGAUGUGAAGGCACUGACAUACAUUAUCAAGGAUGUGAAGCCUUUAGGAUAAAACUUGUCAUUGUAUUGAAAUGUAAAUUUUGUUUAAAUAAAUAGUUGUGUUUAUAUGAUGUGGUGUUGGUAAUAUUUUUGUUUUUAUCAAGAUAAGAAAUGCUUUAGUAUUUAUGAUUCUGCCAAACAUUGGGUAGGAUAUCGACUUUAGAGUAUAUUUCUUAGCUUUGGGAACAUCUGUGCUUUACUUUCUUAUACUGCUGCCAAGAAUAUGAAUGUUUCCAACAUUGAAAUCCUUUUUUUUGUUCAACACGCUUUUUAUUAGAUGUUUAAAUUUUGUUUCGUUAUAAUUUAUAUUUAUUUAAUUUUGAUUAAAAGAAUUUUGAACCUAAUUUUUUACUGUUUUGUAAUGUUUAACAAAGUUCUUCAAGGCAUGACUUAAAUGUAAAAAUUUGACUAUUUUGUAUUCGUUGUAGUAUUCUAAGGUUUGAACUCAUUCACUUAGAAAAGAAACUUAGAGCAUGACUAAGGAAGCAACAAAUUGAUGUUAGGUUCCAUUUAUUUAUAUGUACUUAUUUUUUAUGAUGAAACAUAAAAAGCAUAUGAUGUGUAUAUAAUUAAAUUUUUUAAAGAGUUAAUUAAGUUACUUUUAUGAGGUUUUAAUUGCUAUGUCUGUUUUUAGAAGUCUCUUUAAUUAUGAGUGACAACUUUAACCAAAUUAUGUUUGUAGGUUGUUGAUCAAUAAUUAAUAUAUAUUUAGAGAAAUUGGAGAUGAGUUCUGCUUUGUACAAUAAUGUUAUGAUGACCGCUCAUAUAUUUCUUAGGCGUUAAUUGCGGGAACCACAAUUUUCGAUUCUUUUGCAAAAGAUUAGCUAGUAAGAUUAUCAACCUCUUUCUUCAAUGAGUUAUUCAUUUAUUAUUUUUAUUUAUGUCCUUUGAUUGCAGGACAUACAAAUUAAAUUAUGAACCUGUUUUUCUGCAGUAUGCGAAGCAUAUUUUUCUUCUAAUAAAUUCUAUUCAUUUAAAUAUUUAUUUAUUUAUUUACUUUGUCAGCAUAUUUUUCUUGAUCUUCUGGUUAUAUCUUUCGCUGGUUUGAUCUUCUUGUUUUGUAUUUUUCUCGUUGUUGAUUUUGGUUUCUUGAUUUUGGGGCUUGAUUUGGUUCUUGCUGGUUUGGAUCUGCGGCUAUUAUUUAGAUUUUAACGGUUUUUUCUUUUAUUAUUUUAAUGAUCUGCAACUAUUAUUUAUAUUUUUAAUUCACUGUUCUUCCUAUUCCUCUUUUGUGUCAGUUAUUUGAAUAAUUUUCUUCGAUUGAUCAAGUUUAGUGUUAAUAUGUUGCAGUAGCCUCGACGUCUUAUGUUUGUAAGGUGUUGUAGAGAUGUUUUGCGAAACUAGAUACAUGAUUAUCUGUUUUUAACUUGUGGUUAAAUAUAGUCAAUUUUAUUUCUUCAUUGAAAUUUAUUAUUAUUGUGGUUUUAAUUUCUGACUUGAUUGCUACACAUUGAUUUGAAAUAUGGACAUGUUUUCUACAGGGUAGUGUAUCAAGCCACAAGUUUGUUUUGGUACACUCUUCUGGGAUUGUGAAUUAUUUUCUUUCAUUUCUUUUCUGGAGUUGGACUUUCUAAUGUUGUUGAUUAUGUUACAGGUGAGAUAUGUCUGUUGAUGUGGAGUGAGGGUUACAAAUGAAACGUUUUGGCUUUGGGUUUGUUUACCCAUCAAUGCUCAUUUUUUUUAACCAGAAUACGACUUUUUUUUAUUUUAUUUUUAAAAUUUUGGUUUUCAAACCUUUAACCUGGCAGUGCGGAAGUUCAUACUAUUAUGGACAGAUUGAGAAAGAUUUGUGAGCCUUUCCUAUUAAUUGCUGCUCGGCUACAUGGUUUGGAGAACUAUGUUACUUUUCUUUGUUUAUCUUGGGGUUUUUCACAAAUAGUCAAUGUAAUUUUACUGUACAUAUUUCAAAAAUAUUUUUCACAAAUACUUCAAUUGUACAUAAAAAUAGUCAUUUUUGUACUUACAUAUCUAAUAUCCUAUUGUUUUGGGAUAUUUGUUCUUUGAUGGAGUUCUAUGGAAUUUCGGAUUUUUUGUGUUGCUGUUUCAGCAAGAUUCUAGAGUAUUCAAGCAUACAAGAUUCUAGAGUUUACCUUUUCACUCAUCAAAGAUGUGGAAGUAAUAAUAACUUGGUUUGUAUUUUUUUGUUAUGAUGAUUUUCCACUUCCUUUGUUAUAUGAUUUUUCUAUAUUCUUGUCAAUUGUGAUACUUAAGAGUAAGGUUAAGAAUAACAUUAUUAUCUCUAGUUGUCCAUAACUCCUUUUGGUAUAGGGUAAAGUCUAAUUUUGCAUUGGAACACUGGAAUCUACAAUUGGUACAUGAACUCCUUUUGGUGGGGUAAAGCCUUAUUUUGCAAAGGAGCUCUGGAAUCUACAAUUGGUUGUGUCCUCACAGUUGUCGUUCUUUUAUUUGGCGAUCUCUACUUUGACUAUGUAAUUUUCAUGCUUCUUUUUCUUUGGAAGACUUGUUUUCUCUAUUUUUUGAGAGCUCUGUGUGGGUGUUACAGGGUGAUAUAGACGGUGAAAGCCAUGGCAGAAUUAUCAACGACAUGAUUUUGCUAUGGAGAGAGCCUAUGAAUGUACCAUGGGAUGUGGAUGCUGUUGUGGACAUUAUCAAGGACAUGCCUCUGGAUUUAAUCGGUCAUUUUCUCCUUUAAUGUGUUUAUUCUGGAAUUCUAGAAUGGAGUGUCAUAUGAUAUUGUAAUGUGUCAAUGCUGAUUUUUGUGUUUUUUAAGUGAGAGAUCUAAGAGAGGUUGUGAAGUGCAUGUACAUCUAUUUCAGAGAUAAUUUAAUACAUGCGUUUAUCUGUUUUGUAGCGAGUUGAAGUUUAGAUAUCUAGAACGUUGAGACUUGUUGAAUGGAUAAGAAAGGGAAAGCUCUAGAUAAAUCAAAUUUCUUCAUUGAGUCAUUAUUAUUGUUACUUACGGACUUUGAUCGCAGAACAUACAAAUGAAUUGUUACCUUAUUUUUCUGCGGUGUGGUUUGUCAAAACAAUAACAUUCUUCGAACCGUCGAGCCAUUAGUUUUGAUUGGGUGAUCUCUAGAAUUAUCUUUUUGUUUCAGUAUUUCCUUAUCGAUGCUGAGAGCAUUAAUUUGUAAUUGUUAUUUACCUUUUGAUUUUGCAAGGGAGGUAAUAUGUGAAACACACAAUUCGUUUUGGUUCUAUCUUCUUCUUGUUUGAUGUUUUGUAUUUUGAUUAUUUUCUGGUUUCUUUACUCUAUUAUGAGUAUCACUGUUUCAGGUAAGAUAAGUCUGUUGGUGUGCGGUAAGAGUUAGUGGUUAUGAUUGAAAAGUUGAGCUUUAGAUGUUGUCUUACCAUUAAUCUUACUUUUUUCAUACAAAUGUUUGUUCUACGUUUGGGUUUUCGACUUGUAUUCUGACAGUGCAGAAGUUUACAAAGUACCGGAAAAUUUGGGACGACUUGGUGAGCCUGUCUUCUUUUUUCUUGAUUUUUUAUGCAUCUAUUUGUCACAACAUAUUUCUUCUGUACAUGUAUCAAUUUGGUGUUACAUGGGUUUGAUGUGAAUUAUCAUUUUCCUUCUUUCAAAAUCACACUACACCAUUUUAGUUCGCCCUCAGAUGUAGAGAAAUUGUAGUUGAGUUCCUUUCUGCUUUCUCGGCAACAUGGUUUGGAGAAUUAUGCUACUCUUCUUUGUUUUUCUCGGAGUUUUUCACAAAUAGUCAAUGUAAUUUUACUGAACAUAUUUCAAAAACAUUUUUCACAAAUAUUUCAAUUGUACAUAAAAACGGUCAUUUUUGUACUUACAUAUCUAUUAUCCUAUUGUUUUGGGAUAUUUGUUCUUUGAUGGAGUGCCAUGGGAUUUCGGAUUUUUUGUGUUGUUGUUUCAGCAAGAUUGUAGAUUAUUCAAGCAUACAAGAUUCUAGAGUGUAACCUUUUCACUCAUCGAGGAUGUGGAAGUAAGAAUAACUUGGUUUGGUAUUUUUUUGUUCUGAUUAUUUGCCACUUCCUUUGUUAUAUGUUUUUUUUUCUAUAUUCUUGUCAAUUAUGAUACUUAAGAGUAAGGUUAAGAAUAACAUUAUUAUCUCUAGUUGUACAGAACUCCUUUUGGUAUAGGGUAAAGUCUAAUUUUGCAUUGGAACACUGGAAUCUACAAUUGGUACAUGAACUCUUGUUGGUGGGGUAAAGCCAUAUUUUGCAUAGGAGCUCUGUAAUCUACAAUUGGUUGUGUCCUCACAGUUGUCGUUCUUUCACUUGGCGAUCUCUACUUUGACUAUGUAAUUUUCAUGUUUCUUUUUCUUUUGAAGACUUGUUUUCUCUAUUUUUUGAGAGCUCUGUGUGGUAGUCACAGGGUGAUAUAGACAGUGAAAGCCGUGGCAGAAUUAUCAAGGACGUGAUUUUGCUAUGGAGAGAGCCUAUGAAUGUACCAUGGGAUGUGUAAGCUGUUGUGGACAUUAUCAAGGACAUGCCUCUGGAUUUAAUAGGUCAUUUUCUCCUUUAAUGCGUUUAUUCUGGAAUUCUAGAAUGGGGUGUCAUAUGAUAUUGUAAUGUGUCAAUGCUGAUUUUUGUGUUUUUAAGUGAGAGAUCUAAGAGAGGUUCUAAAGUGCAUGUACAUCUAUUUCAAGGAUAAUUUAAUACAUGCGUUUAUUUGUUUUGUAGCGAGUUGAAGUUUAGAUAUCUAGAACAUUGAGAUAAUUUAAUACAUGCGUUUAUUUGUUUUGUAGCGAGUUGAAGUUUAAAUAUUUCUUUAUUUAUUUUGUCAGCGUAUUUUUCUUGAUUUUGGUUUAAUCUUUGUUGUUGCAGGUUCAAUUCCUUCUGGUUAUAUCUUUCGUUGGUUUGAUCUUCUUGUUUUGUAUUAUUAUUCUUUUCGGAUUGUUGAUUUUGGUUUCUUGAUUUUGGGGCUUGAUUUGGUUCUUGCUGGUUUGGAUCUGCGGCUAUUAUUUAGAUUUUAACGAUUUUUUCUUUUAUUAUUUUAAUCAUCUGCAGCUAUUAUUUAGAAUUUUAAUAAACUGUUCUUCCCGUUCCUCUGUUUUGUCAUUUAUUGGAAUAAUUUUCUUCGGUUGAUCAUGUUUAGUGUUAAUAUGUUGCAGUAGGCUCGACUUCUGAUGUUUGUAAGGUGUUGUAGAGAUGUUUUGCGAAACUAGAUACAUGAUUAUCAGUUUUUAACUCGUGGUUAAAUAUAGUUAAUUUUAUUUCUUCAUUGAAAUCUAUUAUUAUUGUGAUUUUAAUUUCUGGCUUGAUUGCCACACAUUGAAUUGAAAUAUGGACCUGUUUUCUGCAAUGUGUAGUGUAUCAAGCUACAGAUUUGUUUUGGUACACUCUUCUGGGAUUGUGAAUUAAUUUCUUUUCAUUUCUUUUUGGGAGUUAGACUCUCUAAUUUUGUUGAUUAUGUUAUAGGUGAGAUAUGUCUGUUGAUGUGGAGUGAGGGUUACAAUUGAAAGGUUUUGGCUUAGGGUUUGUUUACCCAUCAAUGAUCAUUUUUCUUAACUAGAAUACGACUUUUUUUAUUUUAUUUUUUAAAUUUUGGUUUUCUAGCCUGUAAUCUAGCAGUGCGGAAGUUCAUACUAUUAUGGAGAGAUUGAGAAAGAUUUGUGAGCCUUUCCUAUUAACUGCUGCUCAGCAACAUGGUUUGGAGAAUUAUGUUACUCUUCUUUGUUUUUCUUGGGUUUUUUCACAAAUAGUCAACGUAACUUUACUGUACAUAUUUCAAAAAUAUUUUUCACAAAUAUUUCAAUUGUACAUAAAAACUGUCAUUUUUGUACUUACAUAUCUAAUAUUCUAUUGUUUUGGGAUAUUUGUUCUUUGAUGGAGUGCCAUGGGGUUUCUGAUUUUUUGUGUUGCUGUUUCAGCAAGAUUCUAGAGUAUUCAAGCAUACCAACUUCUAGAGUGUACCUUUUCACUCAUCGAGGAUUUGGAAGUAAGAAUAACUUGGUUUGGUAUUUUUUUCUUCUGAUGAUUUGCCACUUCCUUUGUUACAUGUUUUUUCUAUAUUCUUGUCAAUUGUGAUACUUAAGAGUAAGGUUAAGAAUAACAUUAUUAUCUCUAGUUGUACAAAACUCCUUUUGGUAUAGGGUAAAGUCUAAUUUUGCAUUGGAACACUAGAAUCUACAAUUGGUACAUGAACUCCUUUUGGUGAGGUAAAGCCUUAUUUUGCAUAGGAGCCCUGAGUUUUGAUUGGGUGAUCUUAUUGAUCGCAGGACAUACAAAGAAUUGUGAUCUUAUUUUUCUACAGUGUGGUUUGUCAAAACGAUAACACUCUUCGAAGCGUUGAGCCCUGAGUUUUGAUUGGGUGAUCUCUAGAAUUAUCUUUUGGUUUCAGUAUUUCCUUAUCGAUGCUGAGAGCAUUAAUUUUUAAUUGUUAUUUACCUUUUGAUAUUGCAGGGGAGGUAAUAUGUGAAACACACAAUUUUGAUUAUUUUCUGGUAUCUUUUCUCUAUUAUUAUUUUCACUAUUUCAAGUAAGAUAAGUCUGUUGGUGUGCGGUACGAAUAAGGGUUAUAAUUAAAAAGUUGAGCUUUAGAUGUUGUCUUACCAUUAAUGCUACUUUUUUUAUACAAAUGUGUGUUCUACAUUUGGAUUUUCGAUCUAUAUUCUGAUAGUGCAGAAGUUAACAAAGUACCGGAAAAUUUGGGACGACUUGGUGAGCAUGUCUUCUUUUUUCUUGAUUUUUUGUGCAUCUAUUUGUCACAACAUAAUUCUUCUGUACAUGAAUCAUUUUGGUGUUACAUGGAUUUGAUGUGAAGUAUCAUUUUGCUUCUUUCUCAAUCACACUACACCUUUUUAGUUCGCCCUCAGAUUUAGACAAAUUAUAGAUGAGUACCUUUCUGCUUUGUACCAUAAUGUCAUGAUGACCGUUCAUAUAUUUCCGAGGCGUUAAUUGCGGCAACCACAUUUCUUGAUUCCUUUGCGAAAGAUUAGCCAGUAAGAUUAUCAACCACUUUCUUCAAUGAGUUAUUCGUUUGUUAUUUUUAUUUAUGUGCUUUGAUUGCAGGACAUACAAAUUGAAUUAUGAACAUGUUUUUCUGCAGUGUGCGAAGCAUAUUUUUCUUCUAAUAAAUUCUAUUCAUUUAAAUAUUUCUUUAUUUAUUUUGUCAGCGUAUUUUUCUUGAUUUUGGUUUAAUCUUUGUUGUUGCAGGUUCAAUUCCUUCUGGUUAUAUCUUUCGUUGGUUUGAUCUUCUUGUUUUGUAUUAUUAUUCUUUUCGGAUUGUUGAUUUUGGUUUCUUGAUUUUGGGGCUUGAUUUGGUUCUUGCUGGUUUGGAUCUGCGGCUAUUAUUUAGAUUUUAACGAUUUUUUCUUUUAUUAUUUUAAUCAUCUGCAGCUAUUAUUUAGAAUUUUAAUAAACUGUUCUUCCCGUUCCUCUGUUUUGUCAUUUAUUGGAAUAAUUUUCUUCGGUUGAUCAUGUUUAGUGUUAAUAUGUUGCAGUAGGCUCGACUUCUGAUGUUUGUAAGGUGUUGUAGAGAUGUUUUGCGAAACUAGAUACAUGAUUAUCAGUUUUUAACUCGUGGUUAAAUAUAGUCAAUUUUAUUUCUUUAUUGAAAUUUAUUAUUCUUGUGAAUUUAAUUUCUGGCUUGAUUGCCACACAUUGAAUUGAAAUAUGGACCUGUUUUCUGCAUUGUGAUCUUAUUUUUCUACAGUGUGGUUUGUCAAAACGAUAACACUCUUCGAAGCGUUGAGCCCUGAGUUUUGAUUGGGUGAUCUUAUUGAUCGCAGGACAUACAAAGAAUUGUGAUCUUAUUUUUCUACAGUGUGGUUUGUCAAAACGAUAACACUCUUCGAAGCGUUGAGCCCUGAGUUUUGAUUGGGUGAUCUUAUUGAUCGCAGGACAUACAAAGAAUUGUGAUCUUAUUUUUCUACAGUGUGGUUUGUCAAAACGAUAACACUCUUCGAAGCGUUGAGCCCUGAGUUUUGAUUGGGUGAUCUUAUUGAUCGCAGGACAUACAAAGAAUUGUGAUCUUAUUUUUCUACAGUGUGGUUUGUCAAAACGAUAACACUCUUCGAAGCGUUGAGCCCUGAGUUUUGAUUGGGUGAUCUUAUUGAUCGCAGGACAUACAAAGAAUUGUGAUCUUAUUUUUCUACAGUGUGGUUUGUCAAAACGAUAACACUCUUCGAAGCGUUGAGCCCUGAGUUUUGAUUGGGUGAUCUUAUUGAUCGCAGGACAUACAAAGAAUUGUGAUCUUAUUUUUCUACAGUGUGGUUUGUCAAAACGAUAACACUCUUCGAAGCGUUGAGCCCUGAGUUUUGAUUGGGUGAUCUUAUUGAUCGCAGGACAUACAAAGAAUUGUGAUCUUAUUUUUCUACAGUGUGGUUUGUCAAAACGAUAACACUCUUCGAAGCGUUGAGCCCUGAGUUUUGAUUGGGUGAUCUUAUUGAUCGCAGGACAUACAAAGAAUUGUGAUCUUAUUUUUCUACAGUGUGGUUUGUCAAAACGAUAACACUCUUCGAAGCGUUGAGCCCUGAGUUUUGAUUGGGUGAUCUUAUUGAUCGCAGGACAUACAAAGAAUUGUGAUCUUAUUUUUCUACAGUGUGGUUUGUCAAAACGAUAACACUCUUCGAAGCGUUGAGCCCUGAGUUUUGAUUGGGUGAUCUUAUUGAUCGCAGGACAUACAAAGAAUUGUGAUCUUAUUUUUCUACAGUGUGGUUUGUCAAAACGAUAACACUCUUCGAAGCGUUGAGCCCUGAGUUUUGAUUGGGUGAUCUCUAGAAUUAUCUUUUGGUUUCAGUAUUUCCUUAUCGAUGCUGAGAGCAUUAAUUUUUAAUUGUUAUUUACCUUUUGAUAUUGCAGGGGAGGUAAUAUGUGAAACACACAAUUCCUUUUAGUUCUAUCUUCUUCUUGUUUGAUGUUUCAUGUUUUGUAUUUUGAUUAUUUUCUGGUUUCUUUACUCUAUUAUUAUUUUCACUAUUUCAAGUAAGAUAAGUCUGUUGGUGUGCGGUACGAAUAAGGGUUAUAAUUAAAAAGUUGAGCUUUAGAUGUUGUCUUACCAUUAAUGCUACUUUUUUUAUACAAAUGUGUGUUCUACAUUUGGGUUUUCGAUCUAUAUUCUGAUAGUGCAGAAGUUAACAAAGUACCGGAAAAUUUGGGACGACUUGGUGAGCAUGUCUUCUUUUUUCUUGAUUUUUUGUGCAUCUAUUUGUCACAACAUAAUUCUUCUGUACAUGAAUCAUUUUGGUGUUACAUGGAUUUGAUGUGAAGUAUCAUUUUGCUUCUUUCUCAAUCACACUACACCUUUUUAGUUCGCCCUCAGAUUUAGACAAAUUAUAGAUGAGUACCUUUCUGCUUUGUACCAUAAUGUCAUGAUGAUCGUCCAUAUAUUUCCUUGGCGUUAAUUGCGGCAUCCACACUUCUUGAUUCCUUUGCGAAAGAUUAGCCAGUAAGAUUAUCAACCACUUUCUUCAAUGAGUUAUUCGUUUGUUAUUUUUAUUUAUGUGCUUUGAACGCAAGACAUUCAAAUUGAAUUAUGAACCUAUUUUUCUGCAGUGUGCGAAGCAUAUUUUCAUCUAGUAAAUUCUAUUCAUUUAAAUAUUUCUUUGUUGAUUUUGUCAGCAUAUUUUUCUUGAUUUUGGUUUAAUCUUUGUUGUUGCAGGUUCAAUUCCUUCUGGUUAUAUCUUUUCUUGGUGUUGAUUUUGGUUUCUUGAUUUGGUUCUUGCUGGUUUCGAUCUGCGGCUAUUAUUUAGAUUUUUAAUGGUUUUUUCAUUUAUUUUAAUGAUCUGCAGCUAUUAUUUAGAUUUUAACUCACUGCUCUUCCCAUUCCUCUUUUGCGUCAGUUAUUUGAAUAAUUUUCUUCGGUUGAUCAUGUUUCGUGUUAAUUUGUUGCAGUAGGCUGGCCUUUUGAUGUUUGUAAGGCGUUGUAGAGAUGUUUUGGGAAUGAUAUAUCUUCUUCUUGUUUGAUGUUUCAUGUUUUGUAUUUUUAUUAUUUUCAGGAUUUUUUACUCUAUUAUGAUUUUCACUGUUUCAGGUAAGAGAAGUCUAUUUUGUCAUUUCAUACAAGAAGCAGAUUGGAUGGAAAUAUGUCCCUGUGUUUCAUCGUCUUUUGCAGGCUGUUUCGUAUACUUUCUACUGCUGCUAGACUUCAUUUUUGGUAUUAAGAAUCUUCACAUUUCUUUCUUUGUUUGAUAAUGUACAUAUACUUUUUUCGAUUCCUUUGAGGAUUAUGUGUGGAAGUUAUAGUUGAGAUAGUCUAUGAUUGUGUGGUUUGCUAUUGUACCUGUGGCACGAAGAAGUUAAGUUCACAUACCCUUCAGAUAAAAACGGUCAUUUUUUUCUCUACAUAUCUAAUAUAAUUGUUUUGGGAUAGUUGUCCUUUGAUGGAGUGUCCUGCUGGUGUUGGACUUUUUAUGUUUCUGUUUCAACAAGAUUCUAGAGUUUUGAAGCAUACAAGAUACUAGAGUAUAACUUUUCCCUCCUCGAAGAUGUGGAAUUUAGAAAAACUUGGUUUGGCACUUUUUUGUUCUUUCGACUUGUCAUUCCUUUUGUUAUAUAUUUUUUUUUCUAUAUUCUUGUUAAUUGUAAGGACAAAAAUUAUAAUAUCAUCUCUCAAGUUCUACAAGAACUAGUGUAGGGGUGAAGUCAAAUUUUGUAUUUGAGGACUAAAAUCUACAAUUGGCUGUGUCAUAUUGUCAAAGUUGUCGUUCUUUCAUUUGGUUGUCUCUACUUUUGACAGAAUUGUUCACCUUUCUUUAUUUUUUGAUAAUCUUGUGUGGGUAUCAUUAGGAGGUAGAGUGAAAGCCAUUGUAGAGAUUAUCAAAAAAAGAGCCUAUGAAUGUUCCAUAGGAUGUGAAAGCUGUUGCUGACAUUUUAGUGACAUGCUUUAUGCAAUGCCUUUGGAUUUAAGGAUUUUGUGGGUGAGUUUUCUCUUUGAAUUUAUUAAUUCUGUAAUGAAUAUCAUGAUAUUGUAAUGUGCAAUAUUGAAUAUUGUGUUUUUUUAUUAAAAGUUUACAGUGGUGUCAGUAUUUAUGAUUCUGAAGUGCAUGUACAUUUCUUUCAAAGAUAAUUUGAGACAUGUGUUUAUCUGUUUAAUAGGAAGAAUUGAUCCUUGGACAUUUAGAGCCUUUUUUGAUACUAUGCAAUGAUUAGAAAUAGAAAAACCGCCAGAUAAAUCAAACAACUUCGUUGGGACAUUAUUUUUAUUUACAGAUUUUGAUCUUAAGGAUAUGGAUUGCGACAUCUGUGGCGUUAGUAUCAAGUUCAAACCGAUAUAACUUUGAAUGUAAUGUAGGAUGUGAAGGCAUUUGCAGACAUUAUCAAGGAUGUGAAGCCUUUAGGAUAAAACUUGUCAUUGUAUUGAAAUGUAAUUUUUGUUUAAUUAAAUAGUUGUGUUUAUAUGAUGUGGUGUUGUUAAUAUUUUUGUGUUUAUCAAUAUAAGAAAUGCUUUAGUAUUUAUGAUUCUGGCAAACAUUGGGUAGGAUAUCGAUUUUAGAGUAUAUUUCUUAGCUUUGGGAACAUCUGUGCUUUACUUUCUUUUACUGCUACCAAGAAUAUGAAUUUUCCAACAUUAAAAUCCUUUUUGUUUUUCAUCAUGCUUUUUAUUAGAAGUUUAAAUUUUGUUUCAUUAUAAUUUAUAUUUAUUUAAUUUUGAUUAAAAGAAUUUUGAACCCAAUCUUUUACUUUUUUGUAGUGUUUAACAAAGUUCUUAAGGCAUGACUUGAAUGUAAAAAUUUGAAUAUUUUCUUAGUUUGUAAUUUUCAAACAAUAUGUAUAACUAUAAGUAGUUUUUAGCAUUUAUAAAUUGUAUUCGUUGUAGUAUUCUAAGGUUUGAACUCAUUCACUUAGAAAAGAAACUUAGAUCAUGACUAAGGAAGCAACAAAUUGAGGUUAGGUUCAAUUUAUUUAUAUGUACUUAUUUUUUAUGAUGAAACAUAAAAAGCGUAUCCAAAGUAAGUUACAAUAUACAAUACAUAAAGUAUUUUUUCUUUGAUAAAUGGAUGUCUAUAUAAUUAAAUUUUUUAAAGAGU